UACAGAACGUUGCUGAACGACGCCGUACGUGUUCAAUAUUUUGUUGCUCGCGAGUAUUUAUCAAUCUUUUAGUAGUUAAAUAAAGUUAAAGUGAAUAAUUGUAGAAGAAUUUCAUCUUAAACGAUUAAAAUCAUUAAAGUAGAGUCUCGAUUGGAAGAAUUUCGCUCGCAGGAAUGAAAUUGUACCCUGCAACAAUCGUGGCGACAGAAGACUAUCGUAUUCGACAUCCAUCGUAUUUUAUGAAUAAUUUGUCGAUUAAAUAAACGGGAAUUAUUGUCUUUGAGCUAAUUAUCGUUAGAAUAGGUGAGGUAAUAAAUUUGUGCGUGGAAGUGUAAUACCCAAAAACACAGAGAAAAAUUAUUAUGUGGAAAAUUAAAAUCAAACAUUUGAGAAUUGAAGUGCAGAAUAAUGGUAGGUGGACCCAGUUGAUGUAUUCCCAACGAUGGGAAUAGUGUGUUUAGUGCGUGAAUUGUGUGGAUUUUUCUCCAUAUGAAAUGGAACUUUCAAAAGUGACUGUGAAAUCAGUGAAAAAUUAAAUUCGAACUAUGCGGUAAAUUAGAACAAUGUUCAGAAAAUUCUGAACGUUUUAACAAUUUGUUUACUAUAUUUAAUAUGGUUUAUACAAGAAGGAUAACAUUAAAUGCAGUAGUAAAUUCUGUUUUAAAUUCAUUCAUGUAAAAAGAAUCAUUUAAACGUUCAGAAUUUAGAAUAAUUGUGGACCCAACGGUGGGAAUAGUGUACAGUGUUUUUCUACAAAAAUUGUACGAGCAGGAUAAUAAAAAGAAGGAAAACAUUUUGUGUGAGAAGAUAAAGAAGGAUCAUCAGAGUUGCUCCCUAGAGAUGCCAGAAGGAAGUGUGAUACAAAUGCGGAAGUAGCAGCUCCAGGAUGGAGGUCGUGCAUUAAAGAAAGCAGCCCAA